rnacentral:rRNA from 1 species
CCUACGGGAGGCAGCAGUGAGGAAUAUUGGUCAAUGGGCUUACGCCUGAACCAGCCAAGUCGCGUGAGGGAAGACUGCCCUAUGGGUUGUAAACCUCUUUUGUCAGGGAGCAAUUGGCGCUACGUGUAGCGUUAUCGAGAGUACCUGAAGAAAAAGCAUCGGCUAACUCCGUGCCAGCAGCCGCGGUAAUACGGAGGAUGCGAGCGUUAUCCGGAUUUAUUGGGUUUAAAGGGUGCGUAGGCGGAAUGCCAAGUCAGCGGUAAAAUCGCGGGGCUCAACCUCGCUCCGCCGUUGAAACUGGCGUGCUUGAGUGGGCGAAAAGUAGGCGGAAUGCGUGGUGUAGCGGUGAAAUGCAUAGAUAUCACGAAGAACCCCGAUUGCGAAGGCAGCAUACCGGCGCCCAACUGACGCUGAAGCACGAAAGCGUGGGUAUCGAACAGGAUUAGAUACCCUGGUAGUC